GUGACGACACAGCAACAAGACGCCUUCUUGGAAGCAGAGAGAUGGGACCGUCAGCAGGCACCAAACCUGCUGGCACCUUGAUCUUAGGCUUCCUGGCCUCCAAAACUGUAAAGAAAAAGAAUGAAGAAAAAGAGAAAGAAGAGAAAGGGAAGAUGCAACAGGCAGCAGAUGGUUGGGAAAAAAUUAAAAGAGAAGAUGAGAAAUAUGAAGAAAGAGGAGAAGAUUUGAAGAAAAUAAAGCAAAAUGUUGAUUUGACUUAAGUGAUGAGGGCUCUGCCACCGGCCUUUAGCAGAGACACCGCUGCAGCAGAAUGCUGCCCACACAACUCCAUCUGGAUUUUUGGCACAUGAUUUUGAAUCUCCAUUUGCCCAAGCCAUCACUCUUUGUGACUCUGACUUUGUGUUUCGAUUCUGCUUCUUGGUGGUGUUGCCUACUCAUGAAUUGGUUCCUGACUAUGGCCCAUUCCAACCUCAACCUGUCUACGUCCCCUGGAAAGAACAGAUAGGACUCAACACAUCAUGCCUAUAUAGCUUGUCAAGUUCUUCAAAGUGUCUUCCUACCUAAAGAAAGAUACGAAGAUUUUCAAGUCUAUUAUCGUGUCACUGAAACCAAUUAUUAAAAACUUUACAUAGC
rnacentral:lncRNA from 1 species